rnacentral:rRNA from 1 species
GACGAACGCUGGCGGCGUGCUUAACACAUGCAAGUCGAACGGAAAGGCCCUGCUUUUGUGGGGUGCUCGAGUGGCGAACGGGUGAGUAACACGUGAGUAACCUGCCCUUGACUUUGGGAUAACUUCAGGAAACUGGGGCUAAUACCGGAUAGGAGCUCCUGCUGCAUGGUGGGGGUUGGAAAGUUUCGGCGGUUGGGGAUGGACUCGCGGCUUAUCAGCUUGUUGGUGGGGUAGUGGCUUACCAAGGCUUUGACGGGUAGCCGGCCUGAGAGGGUGACCGGCCACAUUGGGACUGAGAUACGGCCCAGACUACUACGGGAGGCAGAAGUGGGGAAUAUUGCACAAUGGGCGGAAGCCUGAUGCAGCAACGCCGCGUGCGGGAUGACGGCCUUCGGGUUGUAAACAGCUUUCGCCUGUGACGAAGCGUGAGUGACGGUAAUGGGUAAAGAAGCACCGGCUAACUACGUG